AAGGUACUCUCUCUGUACGGAAAUACUUAUCAUACUCAUAGGACUCGAUGUAUCUAGAUAUAUUUUAAUUCUAGAUACAUUCAUUUAUAUCCAUUUUUAUGACAAAUAAUUUCGGACGAAGGGAAUAGGUA
rfam:Hordeum vulgare subsp. vulgare, WGS project CAJW01000000 data, contig: morex_contig_59492